UACGUAGGGUGCAAGCGUUGUCCGGAAUUAUUGGGCGUAAAGAGCUCGUAGGCGGCUUGUCGCGUCGACUGUGAAAACCCGAGGCUCAACUUCGGGCUUGCAGUCGAUACGGGCAGGCUAGAGUUCGGUAGGGGAGACUGGAAUUCCUGGUGUAGCGGUGAAAUGCGCAGAUAUCAGGAGGAACACCGAUGGCGAAGGCAGGUCUCUGGGCCGAUACUGACACUGAGGAGCGAAAGCGUGGGGAGCGAACAGG
rnacentral:rRNA from 1 species